GUUACACUAGUGUGCCCAGGAAAAAAUUCAUCCAGCUGUACAUCUAUGAUAUACCCUGCCUCUGUAGAGCCCAGGCCCCACCUAUAGGUAUGUGGCUUCUGGAAACCAAUAAUCUUGGUUGAGACAUUGACUGCCAAUUGCUCACUGGGUGAUCAUGGUAAAACGGACAUAAUAUCUAAAAAGGUUUAACCAGUUGUGAAGACGAUCAAAAAUUUCAUAUGAAAACAUCAUGCCUUAUCU